rnacentral:lncRNA from 1 species
CGGCCACCCUCAUCAGUUAGGAAGUCUGCACUGUGGGCUGGGGCAGCCACAGCCUCUUCUACCUGGCAUCCACUGCCUGAAGCCCCUAGGCACGUGCUUCGGGGCCCUGAAGCCUCUUAAAGCCACCAGCAAGGCUUAGAAGACUGUGUCCUGGCCUGUGAACAGGGUCUUACCAUAUAGCUCAGACUGGACUUUAACUCACUACACAGCUCUGGCUGGCCUCAAACUGAUGAUGAUCCUCCUGCCUCAGCCUACCUAGUGCUGGAAUUAUAGGUGUGCACCAGCUAUUCAUGUUUAUUCUUUAUGGGGUAUGUACUUUUCCAUUUCUAGGCUAUAUACGAGGAGUGCAAUUUCUGG